GACGAACGCUGGCGGCGUGCUUAACACAUGCAAGUCGAACGGAAAGGCCCUGCUUUUGUGGGGUGCUCGAGUGGCGAACGGGUGAGUAACACGUGAGUAACCUGCCCUUGACUUUGGGAUAACUUCAGGAAACUGGGGCUAAUACCGGAUAGGAGCUCCUGCUGCAUGGUGGGGGUUGGAAAGUUUCGGCGGUUGGGGAUGGACUCGCGGCUUAUCAGCUUGUUGGUGGGGUAGUGGCUUACCAAGGCUUUGACGGGUAGCCGGCCUGAGAGGGUGACCGGCCCAGUGCGGGAGAGCGAGCAGCCCAGGACGCGGGGGGGGGCAGAGGGGGAGGCAUGAGUGGCGGAGGAGGGAGCGGGAGGCGGCGGCGCCGAGUGUGGAACGACGGGCUGGGGCCGGAGACCCGCUGUCGCCUGGUACGAGGCUGGAGUGUGGGGAAGGGGAAAAGGAGCACCGGCUAACAACGUGCCAGCAGCGGAGGUAAAAAAGGAACGCGCACACGCUUGAUC
rnacentral:rRNA from 1 species